rnacentral:misc_RNA from 1 species
GAUGAAGAACGCAGCGAAAUGCGAUAAGUAAUGUGAAUUGCAGAAUUCAGUGAAUCAUCGAAUCUUUGAACGCACAUUGCGCCCGCCAGUAUUCUGGCGGGCAUGCCUGUUCGAGCGUCAUUUCAACCAUCAAGCCCCAGGCUUGUGUUGGGGACCUGCGGCUGCCGCAGGCCCUGAAAACCAGUGGCGGGCUCGCUGUCACACCGGGCGUAGUAGAUUUUAUCUCGCUCAGGGCGUGCUGCGGGUUCCGGCCGUUAAAAAGCCUUUUUUACCCAAGGUUGACCUCGGAUCAGGUAGGAAGACCCGCUGAACUUAAGCAUAUCAAUAAGCGGAGA